UGUAAUUGAAGUCGCGUGUUUGCAUUAGUUUUUUGAAUUGCUGUUGGGGCUGGGGCUGCGUGAUCGUCACUGGCGUCCUCCAGAGUGCCCACCGAUCGGAAAGUCGUACGAACCGCAAGCUUUGAACGUCUGUUUAUCGCAACAUCGAAAGCGGCGGCACAGAAGACGCGAUGUGAGCUCCGGUGGGAACAGCAGCCCUUUGUCUCGUAACGGAUGUUGCUAUCUCUACAAUAGCCGGAGAAGAUGAAACAAGUUUUGCAAUGCACACGGACUGGCUCAGUUGUGAAUGUCACAAAUGCUCCCCUAACGAGGAUCAAAAGAUUGAAAGGAUGGCCUUGAUAAAUAAUAUUCAUGAGGCGAAGAGGAAGUACCCAUACAUGAUGAGCUUUGAGAGGUGACUUUGCAAGACUGACUAAGAUUGACCCAUCACCUUGUAUUGCAAAAUGGAUCAACAAAAUUGUGAAAAUGGCAGAUAUGAAACACAUCCCUUGCGAAGCAAGUGUAAUGGCAUCACUUCAAAAGGCUCGUGAGAUGUCACCGGAGAGGCUGCGAACACGACGUGAGUACUGUUACAAAGGCUUCAUCGGCAGCUUUUAGACCUACACUCCGUGACAUUAUUUUUGCAGGGUUUCGUCUCAUAGGCAUAACAUUAGAGUACAUCUGUGUUCAAUUAUUUGGUUCUUUUAAGACAGUUCUUCAGGUUUUCAACUCAUAUCUUCUCUAAAACUUAAAUUCUUUAAUGGUAGGUUGUUUGAUCUGUGGAAUGGAAAUAAACUGGCGUAGUGUUGCACAGUUACAUGCGUAGAUCAAGAAUAUUCUGUGCCAUGGCAGGCACAGAAUAUUCUUGACGGGAAAGGUCUUCAAGGUGCAGUCGACAUAAAUAAGGGGAUGUUACCCUAGCACCAGUGUUCAUUUGCUUUUAGUGACAGAAAAUCACAGCGUUAAUAGUUUUCAAAACCAACCUUUGUCACAGAUUUAGGGAACUUUAGGAAGAUACUAAACAAGUGCAUUAAAGUGUUC
rnacentral:lncRNA from 1 species